rnacentral:rRNA from 1 species
GACAACAUUCGGAAACGGAUGCUAAUACCCCAUAGGUGGAUUGGUCGCAUGACGAAUUCAUUAGAGGUUGCUUUGCUACCACUCAUGGAUAGCCUCGCGGCGUAUUAGCUAGUUGGUAAGGUAAUGGCUUACCAAGGCAGUGAUACGUAGCCGACUUGAGAGGGUGAUCGGCCACACUGGGACUGAGACACGGCCCAG